rnacentral:rRNA from 1 species
UAGUGAGUUUGAUCCUGGCUCAGGACGAAUGCUGGCGGCAUGCCUAACACAUGCAAGUCGAACGAGACCUUCGGGCUUAGUGGCGCACGGGUGCGUAACGCGUGGGAAUCUGCCCUUGGGUUCGGAAUAACAGUUAGAAAUGACUGCUAAUACCGGAUGAUGUCUUCGGACCAAAGAUUUAUCGCCCAAGGAUGAGCCCGCGUAAGAUUAGCUUGUUGGUGAGGUAAAAGCUCACCAAGGCGACGAUCUUUAGCUGGUCUGAGAGGAUGAUCAGCCACACUGGGACUGAGACCACGGCCCAGACUCCGUACGGGGAGGCAGCAGUGGGGUAAUAUUGCACAAGUGGCGCAAGCCUGAUGCAGCCAU